GUUGAAAAACCUGUUCACGUACGAUCACUGAAGUUAAGCAAUGUCGAGCCUGGACAGUACAUCGAUGGGUGAUCGCUUGAAAAUACAAGGUGCUGUAA